UACGUAGGGUGCGAGCGUUAAUCGGAAUUACUGGGCGUAAAGCGUGCGCAGGCGGUUUUGUAAGCCAGAUGUGAAAUCCCCGGGCUCAACCUGGGAAUGGCAUUUGGGACUGCAAGGCUCGAGUGCGGCAGAGGAGACUGGAAUUCCUGGUGUAGCAGUGAAAUGCGUAGAUAUCAGGAGGAAUACCGAUGGCGAAGACAGGUCUCUGGGCUGACACUGACGCUCAUGCACGAAAGCGUGGGGAGCAAACAGG
rnacentral:rRNA from 1 species